UGGGGAAUAUUGCACAAUGGGGGAAACCCUGAUGCAGCGACGCCGCGUGAACGAAGAAGGUAUUCGUAUCGUAAAGUUCUGUCCUAUGGGAAGAUAAUGACAGUACCAUAGAAGAAAGCUCCGGCUAAAUACGUGCCAGCAGCCGCGGUAAUACGUAUGGAGCGAGCGUUGUCCGGAAUUAUUGGGCGUAAAGGGUACGCAGGCGGUUUAAUAAGUCGAAUGUUAAAGAUCGGGGCUCAACCCCGCAAAGCAUUGGAAACUGAUAAACUUGAGUAGUGGAGAGGAAAGUGGAAUUCCUAGUGUAGUGGUGAAAUACGUAGAUAUUAGGAGGAAUACCAGUAGCGAAGGCGACUUUCUGGACACAAACUGACGCUGAGGUACGAAAGCGUAGGGAGCAAACAGG
rnacentral:rRNA from 1 species